rnacentral:rRNA from 1 species
GACGAACGCUGGCGGCGUGCCUAAUACAUGCAAGUAGAACGCUGAAGGAGGAGCUUGCUUCUCUGGAUGAGUUGCGAACGGGUGAGUAACGCGUAGGUAACCUGCCUGGUAGCGGGGGAUAACUAUUGGAAACGAUAGCUAAUACCGCAUAAGAGUAGAUGUUGCAUGACAUUUGCUUAAAAGGUGCAAUUGCAUCACUACCAGAUGGACCUGCGUUGUAUUAGCUAGUUGGUGAGGUAACGGCUCACCAAGGCGACGAUACAUAGCCGACCUGAGAGGGGGAUCGGCCAAACUGGGACCGAGACACGGCCCAGACUCCUACGGGAGGCAGCAGGAGGGAAUCUUCGGCAAUGGACGGAAGUCUGACCGAGCAACGCCGGGUGAGUGAAGAAGGUUUUCGGAUCGUAAAGCUCUGUUGUAAGAGAAGAACGAGUGUGAGAGUGGAAAGUUCACACUGUGACGGUAUCUUACCAGAAAGGGACGGCUAACUACGUG